rfam:Lasius niger Lnig_2.1_13216, whole genome shotgun sequence.
CAAUUGGCCCUUUUCAGGGCCACACAAACAAAUCUAAAAAUAAUC